rnacentral:sRNA from 1 species
AAAGCUUUUCUGUCCCUGUCGCGAUGUGUGCCCAGAGUCUCUCCCGCUCCCGUCUCGAGUGCUUUCUCUACGGAGUCUCACUCUGUCGCCCAGGCUGGAGUGCAGUGGUACGAUUUCGGCUCACUGCAAGCUCCGCCUUCCGGGUUUAUGCUAUUCUCCUGCCUCAGCCUCCCGAGUAGCUGGGACUACAAGUGCCUGCCACCACGCUGGCUAGUUUUUUUUUUUUUUUUUUUUAGAUGGAGUCUCGCUCUGUUGCCCAGGCUGGAGUGCAGUGGCGCAAUCUCGGCUCACUGCAGCCUCGACUUACUAGGCUCAGGCAAUUCUCCCACCUCAGCCUCCUGUGUCGUUGGGACUACAGGCGCCCAACACCGCACCCACCCUGAGUCCCCUUUUUAACUUGGAGAGUCCCCUUUCCUGGGACUUACCAGUCCUCCUCCAUUCCAGACAGGUGGUUCUCUGGGUUGGCUACACAGCUGUCAUCCUGGAACUUUCCUUCGGUACUUUCCUGAGUUGGAUUUUAUUCUAACCCCCGUCACUGAUUGAUUCCAAAGUUUUUUUUCUUUUUUCUGUAGCUCA